UCAGGUAAGAGUAAGUCUAACCUGGGAUGGACGCCUCUUCACCUGGCCUGUUACUUUGGACACAGAGCUGUGGUGGAGGAAUUACUCAAGGCCGGAGCGGAUGUUAAUUUGCCCAAUAAUGUGGGAGACACACCACUGCACAAAGCUGCCUUCACCGGAAGAAAGGAGGUUGUCAUGUUGCUGCUAAGCUAUGAUGCAUGUGCCACUGUCAUCAAUGGAACAGCACAGAUUCCUAAAGAUGUCACUCAGAAUGGGGAGAUCAAAAGCAUGC